GAUGAAGAACGUAGCGAAAUGCGAUAAGUGAUGUGAAUUGCAGAAUUCAGUGAAUCAUCGAAUCUUUGAACGCACAUUGCGCCCGCCAGUAUUCUGGCGGGCAUGCCUGUCUGAGCGUCAUUUCAACCCUCAUGCCCCUAGGGCGUGGUGUUGGGGAUCGGCCAAAGCCCGCGAGGGACGGCCGGCCCCUAAAUCUAGUGGCGGACCCGUCGUGGCCUCCUCUGCGAAGUAGUGAUAUUCCGCAUCGGAGAGCGAUGAGCCCCUGCCGUUAAACCCCCAACUUUCCAAGGUUGACCUCAGAUCAGGUAGGAAUACCCGCUGAACUUAAGCAUAUCAAUAAGCGGAGGA
rnacentral:misc_RNA from 1 species